UUGAAAUAGGAAGUAAUACAUAAUAUGCUUCAUUGAUCUGAAAAACCAACAAGCUUAUAAUACCACAACACAAACAUAACAAACACAUCCAGAAAACACCAACGAAGCCCCAAAAUCUACACACAACCCCUUAUGUUAUUAAUCCCUGCACGAUAAUUCUCAGAACCCAAAUCACAUAAACAGCAUUCGAAAGUUUCAACCAAUCUUGACCUCGAUUGUCUUCGGCUUCUUCGGCUCCGGCGGCGGCAGCUUCUGCACCGUGACAGUCAAAACCCCAUCCUGGCAAACAGCAGAAAUCGCAUCCACGUUCGCGUUCUCCGGCAACACAAACUUCCUCAUGAACUUACCGACCCUCCGCUCCAUCCUCACGUACUUAGCCCCUUCCUUCUCCUCCCGCUUCCUCUCGCCGCUGAUCAGAAGCACAUUGUCGUCCUCCACCUGGACCUUGAUGUCCCCGGACUUCAGUCCCGGCAUGUCCACCACGAACACGUAGGAGUUCGGGUACUCCUUGACGUCUGCCGGCGUGGAGGCCAUGGCCUUGGCGUCACGGACGUAGGUCCGGGUGGGGGCGUUGGACUUCUCGGCGUCGUCGGCGGCGUCGAUGAUGUGCUGAAGUGUGGAGAAGAGUGGGGCAUCCAAACCUUGGAUUCUGAUAUCCAUUCUUCCCUUCUUGGUGGGUGGAAUUUUCGCUUUUCGGUUUCGAUUUGAAGGCUUUCGUGAAUUUUCGAGUGGGAAUCUGGUCGCUGUUACGGAGGGGGGUGGUGGUUAUGGGCAUUUAUAGGAGAAGGAGUUGAGGGAGUUGAGGGAGGACGGGGGUUAGCGGGGAGGGAAAAGGAAUGUUCUGGAGAAACGUGAAGGGAAGGGAGGAGGUUCCAGUAGGUUCCAUUUCUUCUUUGAGAGUCUAGAACAUUCUGGAAACGUUUACCAGGGGCAGGGCCUCUUUAGCCAUUUAUGAGAUAUUUUGUUGAGAAAGAGCCAAAAAGCUAAAAUAGAUAACAGUACUAAAUUAAAAGAUAAUCCCAAGAAUGCAAAAGAGAAAAAUGUGAAGAAGAUAAUCGGGAAGAGGAUCAUCUCCUGAGCUUAGGAUGGGGAUUCUCUUAACUAGCCUAUUUAAGCAGUUCAAAUCUAAUACAACAGCUUUAAACAGGGAGAUUCUCUAAAAAUUAUAAUUGCAACCGUUGGAUUCAAUUUGAACAGUCCAGAUGGGCUAGUCAGGUGGAUCUCCAUCCUGAGCUCAGAAGAGGAUCAUCUUCUAGAUAAUUGUGCACCUAAUUUUGUUAUGUGAAGAAACAAACGAAAAUUAAUUCGAUAAAUCGAUGGCUAGAGGUAUUCUUCCUUUUUGGUUUAAUAAUCUAUGGUACUUUUUAAAUUCAAACUACAUAAAUAAAUGUUUUUUUUUUUGGUUGAACAUAGAUAAUGAGUUAAAUGACGAGUUUGGUAAACACUCCAUAAAUAAUAUAACAAUGGUCAAUCUACUAGGGUGAACACUCCAUAAAUAAUGUAACAAUGGUCAAUCUAAUGGUGUUUUUGGUGACAAAUCGAGAAUAUAAUAAAUAUGAGCCACCAAAAGACAAGUAAAUUCCUAGUAGCACCACUCUUUAAAUUAUUAUAAUAAUUUCGAAUCUUCUCAUUUUUAAUUAAUAAUAAUAUUAAAAAAAAGUAAACUCUAAAAUAAGGUUAUCGAUUGGCACACAAAUAAGUUAUUAAAAACGAAAACUAACCAAAAGGGCCUGAAAACUUUAAGUUUUAACCAAAAACCAUGUUGUAAGUUUAUUUAAUGGUUAGGAUAAAGCCCAACACUAAAUCAAUCCAAAUAAAAUGGCCCAAACAAUGAGUGUCCGAUUUUGCCCCUGACGGCAAAGCAUUUCUCCGUUUAAUCUCUCUUCCUUUAUGGGUCUCUCUGCUCUGCUGUGGUCUGUCUCCCCCCCAUUUCUUCCUGACACAUCUAAAGAGAGAAAGAGAAGUGAAGGAAGUGAAAGAACAACACAUUUGAAUCCUUUUAUUUCCAAGUUCAAUUCCAAUUCCUCCAUUUUUCAAUCGAAUCGAUCGAAUCUCUCUCCCUCUCUCUCUCGAUCUCUCCACCCAAUAUGUAUUUUUGUUUUCAAUUCAAUUUGAGUUCCACAAUUUUUCAAAUCAAUCGAAUCGAUCGAAUCGGAUAAGCACGGGCGACCUUCUCAGCAUCGAUUCUCUGGAGCUCGAGUUCCCCUGUCAGUAUAACACGUUACCUUUCUCUUUCGAUCUGGUUUUUGUUUUCAAAAAUUUGCAUGUUGCUGUUUCAUUCCUGUUUUCAAUUUACGAUUUUGAAUCUUUGCAGUUGAAUUUCUUUUGCAUACAUCAUUAGUUCUCGAACGCUUGAGAUUUCUAUGAAUCCAAUGAUCUAUUUUGUUUUAAAUAUUGUUUACAUGAUCCUACUGCUGUUUUAUUUUUCUAUUUUGUUUUAAAUAUUGUUUAUAAUUGGUAAUGAGGAUGAGGAUUUGGUUUUCGUGGAUUUCAUGAGAAGUUAAAUUUUAGUUUCGAAAAUUUCGAAAUUGAUUAAAAAGAAAUUAACUUGGCAGCGGACUGAAUAUUCUGCUGUAAUGAUUUUUUGUCUCUAUUUUUCCAUAAAUUGUAGAUUUCAUUACAUUUUGUCAAUCUUGAUAUUGUUGACGGUAAUUGUGGUAAAAAUACUGAUUUUAUCGAUGUAUUUGUUGCUAAUCGCAUUGGGAUUUUUCGGUUGCAGCCGCGGUGGCAUGGGAAGCGGGGAAGCCACUGUCAAUUGAGGAAGUGGAGGUGGCCCCACCGCAGAAACAUGAAGUUCGCUUGAAGGUCCUCUUCACCUCUCUUUGCCACACCGAUGUCUACUUCUGGGAAGCCAAAGUAAAAACUUCAACUUUGAAUGCCAUUUUCUACUUUAAUAUCUGCGUAUCGAUAACUACAUCAUUAAGCAUGAUUCUUCAUAUGUUUAUAGUACUUAGUCCAUAACUUGCAAUUGAUUAGUGAAGUUAAGCAUGAUUUUGAGUGCUAAGUCUAAUGUGAUGAUAAAUCCUAUACAAGGCAUUUUCGUGCUUAGAAUGUCAGCUGUUGGAAUUGAAACAUAUAUGUUGUGUGCCAGGGACAACAACCGCUGUUUCCUCGCAUUUUUUGUCAUGAAGCUGGAGGGUAUGUACACAUCUCUGAAUAUUAAAGCUACAUAAUUUGUAAUUAACUUAGUAUUUGCUUCCAUUUUACGCGGUUUGUUUACUUUUCUAAAUUUUGUUUGCUUAACAUUUUGUGUUUAGAGUUGUGGAAAGCGUAGGCGAGGGCGUAACUGAACUCCAGCCGGGUGACCACGUCCUCCCUGUGUUCACUAGAGAGUGCAAGGAGUGCGCGCAAUGUAAGUCGAAGGAAAGCAACAUGUGUGAUCUGCUGAGGAUCAAUACUGAUAGGGGUACCAUGAUCAAUGAUGGCCAGUCCAGGUUCUCCAAGGAUGGAAAACCAAUUUAUCACUGUUUAGGUACUUCUACCUUCAGUGAAUACACUGUUUGUCAUGUUCGUUCCGUUGCUAAGAUCAACCCGGCUGCUCCCCUUGACAAAGUUUGUGUUCGUAGUUGCGGAAUAUGCACAGGUUCGAAAGACUUCUCCCAUUUUGACAGUGAAAAGUUGGAAUAAGAAAUUAGGGAUUUUCCAACUUUUCUUUCUGGAGUAAUCAAUUAUUGUUUCUGUUGGUGUAUUUGAAGGUUUUGGCGCCACUGUGAAUGUUGCAAAACCGAAAAAGGGUUCAUCUAUUGCCAUCUUUGGAUUGGGAGCUGUUAGUCUUGCUGUAAGUCAUUCUUAUUGCUCCUCUGUUAUGGCUCUUUUGGAUAGUUUGGAGUAGUGUAAGGAUUUUCUUGUUCAUCUUGUUCCAUUUUAGGCUGCUGAAGGUGCAAGGGUUUCGGGCUGUUCAAGGAUAUAGGAGGGAGGAUGGAUGGGAGGGUGAUUGUUCUUGUUUGCAGGGAGUCUCAGUGAAUUGCGUCACAAUUUAUACAUUAGGUUUAUCAAACUGAACUAUUUAUCAAACUAAACCACAUUUUUUUACCAAAGCAAAGUGAACUAUUUAUCAAAAUGAACUAUUUAUCAAAUUGAACUAGAAAACCACACUUUUUUACCAAAGCAAGCUGAACUAUUUAUCAAACUGAACUAGAAAAUCACACUUUUUUACCAAAGCAAACUGAACUAUUUAUCACACUAAACCACAUUUUUUUACCAAAGCAAACUGAACUAUUUAUCAAAGUGAACUAUUUAUCAAACCAAACCACAUUUUUUUACCAAAGCAAACUGAACUAUUUAUCAAACUGAACUAGAAAACCACAUUUUUUUACCAAAGCAAAUUGAACUAUUUAUUAAAUUAAACCACACUUUUUUACCAAAACAAAUUGAACUAUUUAUCAAAGUGAACUAUUUAUCAAACCAAACCACAUUUUUUUACCAAAGCAAACUGAAUUAUUUAUCAAACUAAACCACACUUUUUUACCAAAGCAAACUGAACUAUUUAUCAAACUGAACUAGAAAAACAUAUUUUUUUACCAUAGCAAACUAAACUAUUUAUUAAACUAAACCACAUUUUUUUACCAAAGCAAACUGAACUAUUGAUCAUCUCCAGGACCAUUGUUUUAUCAAUCAAUAGUCAAGACCGUACUGGCAAAUCUUUAAACCCACCAACUAAAAAUGAAAUUGAAAUAAUUUUCAAUGAAAGGGUUCCUACAGAAAACAUUUAUACAGGUUCUAAGCGGUAAACAAAAUUAAGGUGGAGAUUGGUAAUUUGAACAACCUAAUUCAAAUAAGUAAAAAAAAAAAAAUAUAUAUAUAUAUAUAUAUAUAUAUAUAUAAAUAAAAGAAAGUGGGAAUCGAUGGGUUUCUCAAGCCUAUGAAAAAGACGUCCCUUCCGACUUCCAGGAGCAAGGGGGAGGGCAAGAAGAAAACAAGAAAAAUAAAAAGGAGAAACCAACGGCAAAUUCAAAAAAAAAAGAGAGAGAGAAACUGGCUAACAAAAUGGCAUUCAAAUUCUAAACGGUUUGGCUAACGGAAGUGGUGUUCCGUCAAGGGCAAGGAUUGGAAAAAAAAAUUGUUUUGCACGCUGGGCUUACUUCCAGCCCGUGUGCUCUUUAGUUAGUCUUUUAUUUCUUAUAGUUUGUGUCCUUUUUCAUUAAAAUUCAUGUCCUUUUUAUUAAAUAAAGUUAUUAUGUGGUUUUUGGUUAAAUUAAAGUUAGUCAAAACCUUUUUCAUUAAAGCUCCCUUAUUAAAAAGGCUGGUUUAUAUUUAAAUUGGAAGAUUACAAUAUAUAUCUGAAGUCAAGACGGCACCCAGCUUCCUUUCCUUCUUAUUCCUUUUAUGAAAGACCAAAAUGAAAAACAGAAACAAAGUAUACGAAUUUACAGCAGACACAGAAAACCAAAUAACACGAUGCAUAUAUACUUCAUCUACAUAUAUAUACCGCCACCGCCACUGCCACUCAGUAGUAUCCUCACGUACACUGAUCAUGCACUGCCAUCAAAGCAAGCCGACCUCUGCCUGCUCGUCAAGCUCUUCAACUUUGCCCUUCAUACCCACCGGCACCACGUUCCCCACCGCCUUGUCCACCUUGCCUGCCAGGUUGCCCACCUUGCCCACCGCCUUGCCAACCACAUUCCUCUUGGCCACCUUCUUCCCAGCCUUGACCACCUUUGCCUCCCUGGCCACCGCCUUCCCUACCACGUUCCUCUUGGCCACCUUCUUCGGAUUAUUUCAGAGAUAAAAAUUGAUGCAUACCACUUUUGCCAGUUCCGGAAGUGGAGAGAGCUGUUUACAGCACAUGCUUUGUCAACUAGUGGUGGAUCUAGGAAAUAAUAUUAGAGGGUCAGUAAGAAUAGAAUACGUAGCACAUAAUUUUUUUUUUACCAGAAAUAGUAUAAAAAAAGUCGUACCCAGUGCACAAGGCUCCCGCUUUACGCAGGGUCUGGAAGAGGUGAAUGUCGGUUAACCUUACGCCCAUUUUAUGGAGAGGCUGCUCCCAAGUCUCGAACCCGAGACCUACCGCUCAUGAACCAGAAAUAGUAUGCAUAUCAUUAUUUAAUCGAGUCUUGGUAAACCUGAAGUCAUUUGGAAAAACAUAUUGCAAACCUAUUAAUGCCCCAUUUACGUGAGUAACUAACAUGUUCCAAAGCUACUUCCAUAUGAAUGCUUAACAAAAAAACAAACUUAUCUUGAACGCACUAAAAAUGUUUGAUAUCAUUGCAUCUCAUUAAUAUGGUUGUCCAAGAAUGAUAAUGUUUUGUUAUUUAUUGAGAUCACCAUUUCAUUCACUCUUCAUUCACAUUCUAUCAAACAAUUGGAAGACAUGGAUGGAACCAACUCUAAUCUUAAAAAUAGCAACAUCAAGGUAUCCAUGAAUAUACACUAAAGCUCGGAAGAUCGACACUCAAAGUAUCCAUAAACGUUCACCGAAGUUCGAAGGGUUAGCUGACCCCCUACCCCUCAAUGCAUCCGCCACUACUGUCAACCAAGUCGGAAACGAAGAUGUCAUUAAAUCUGUGCCACCACUUGCUGCAUCCAAUGGUUUCCAACUAGAAACUCCCUUCCCGGAAUGGCACCGCCGUGGUGUCCUCAGUGUCAGUGGCAUCCUUAAAUCUUGACAAAAAUGUUGAGAUAUUGGUAUCUCAACAUUGCUCUGUUUUCUAGGUCCGGCGACCAAUCAGAGGCGCCUAACGGAACCGGCAUAGGCUCGAACAGAACCUCAAAGAGGCAGAGAAAUUAUGCAGUACCUCAUCUCAAUCUGUUUAAACUUUAAAAUGCUGACACACGGAACAAAGUAUAUAUGGUGUAAUUCCAAACACACUCAUAUUACGAACUCUGUUUGAUUACGUUCGUAAAAUGCUCGGUUAUUCGAGUUAUUUGUUCCGUUGAUUCGCGUUUUUGAAGCCAAUUUUAUGAUAACAUAAACAAAAAUGGAAAUAAAACACAUAAUAUGCUUCAUUGAUCUGAAAAACCAACAAGCUUAUAAUACCACAACACAAACAUAACAAACACAUCCAGAAUACACCAACGAAGCCCUAAAAUCCACACACAAACCCUUAUGUUAUAAUCCCUGCACGAUUAUUCUCAUAACCCAAAUCACAGAAACAGUUUCAAGCAAUCUUGACCUCGAUUGUCUUCGGCUUCUUCGGCUCCGGCGGCGGCAGCUUCUGCACUGUGACAGUCAAAACCCCAUCCUGGCAAACAGCAGAAAUCGCAUCCACAUUAGCAUUCUCCGGCAACACAAACUUCCUCAUGAACUUGCCGACCCUCCGCUCCAUCCUCACGUACUUAGCCCCUUCCUUCUCCUCCUCCCGCUUCCUCUCGCCGCUGAUCAGAAGCACAUUGUCGUCCUCCACCUGGACCUUGAUGUCCCCGGACUUCAGUCCCGGCAUGUCCACCACGAACACGUAGGAGGUCGGGUACUCCUUGACGUCUGCCGGCGUGGAGGCCAUGGCCUUGGCGUCGCGGAAGUAGGUCCGGGUGGGGGCGUUGAAGGAUUUCUCGGCGUCGUCGGCGGCGUCGAUGAUGUGCUGAAGUGUGGAGAAGAGCGGGGCAUCCAAACCCUGGAUUCUGACAUCCAUUCUUCCCUUCUUGGUGGGUGGAAUUUUUGCUUUUCGGUUUUGAUUUGAAGGCUUUUGUGAGUUUUCGAGUGGGAAUCUCGUCGCUGUUACGGAGGGGAGUAGUGGUUGUGGGUAUUUAUAGGAGGAGUUGAGGGAGGACGGGGGUUAGCGGGGAGGGAAAAUGAAUGUUCUGGAGAAACGUGGAAGGAAGGGAGGAGGUUCCAGUAGGUCCCAUUUCUUCUGUGAGCGUCUAGAACAUUCUGGAAGCGUUUACUAGGUAGGGGCAGGGCCCCUAUAGCCAUUUAUGAGAUAUUUUGUUGGGAAAGAACCAAAAAGCUAAAAUAGAUAACAGUACUAAAUUAAAAGAUAAUCACCAAAAAGCAAAAGAGAAAAAUGUGACGAAGAUAAUCGUGCACUUAAUUUUGUUAUGUGAAGAAACAAACGAAAAUUAAUUCGAUAAAUCGACGGCUAGAGGUAUUCUCCCUGUUUGGUUCAAUCAUUUAGGGCACUUUUCAAAUUACAUAGAUAAUGAGUUAAAUGACUAGUUUGAUUAACAUUUCAUAAAUAAUAUAACAAUGGUCAAUCUACUGGGACGAACACUUCAUAAAUAAUGUAACAAUGGUCAAUCUAAUGAUAUUCUUGGUGACGAAUUGAGAAUAUAUUAAAUAUGAGCCACCAAAAGACAAGUAAAUUCCUAGUAGCACCACUUUUUAAAUUAUUAAAUAAUAUUAUUAUUAGAAAAAAAAGUAAACUCUAAAAUAAGGUUAUCAAUUGGUACACAAAUAAGAGCUCGUUUUGAUGUGCUUUUAAAAUAAUUGAAAAUACUUUUAAAGAAAAUAUUUGUAGGUUCCAAAAGCACUUAAGUGUUUUCUACAAAAAUAACCAUUUAUGUGCUUCUUUCAAGAAGCACUUUAUGUGCUUUUCUAAGAUUUACUACUAUUUUUACUAAGGAUUGUUUCCAAAAAUAUUUUCACUAAAAGCGCUUUCAGUCAUUUUAAAAACAUAUCCAAACGAAUCCCAAGUUAUUAAAAAUGCUGGUUUUAUAUCCAAAUUGGAAGAUUACAAUAUAUAUCUGAAGUCAAGACGGCACCCACCUUCCUUUCCUUCUUUUUCUUUUUAUAUGAAAGACCAAAAUGAAAAACAGAAACAAAGCAUACAAAUUUACAGCAAACACAGAAAACCAAAUAGGCCAACAACAACAACAACAACAACAAAGCCUUUUCCCACUAAGUGGGGUCGGCUAUAUGAAUCCUAGAACGCCAUUGCGCUCGGUUUUGUGUCAUGUCCUCCGUUAGAUCCAAGUACUCUAAGUCUUUUCUUAGAGUCUCUUCCAAAGUUUUCCUAGGUCUUCCUCUAUCCCUUCGGCCCUGAACAUCUGUCCCGUAGUCACAUCUUCGAACCGGAGCGUCAGUCGGCCUUCUUUGCACAUGUCCAAAUCACCGGAGCCGAUUUUCUCUCAUCUUUCCUACAAUUUCGGCUACUCCUACUUUACCUCGGAUAUCCUCAUUCCCAAUCUUAUCCUUUCUCGUGUGCCCACACAUCCCACAAAGCAUCCUUAUCUCCGCUACACCCAUUUUGUGUACGUGUUGAUGUUUCACCGCCCAACAUUCUGUGCCAUACAACAUCGCUGGCCUUAUUGCUGUCCUAUAAAAUUUUCCCUUGAGCUUCAGUGGCCUACGACAGUCACACAACACGCCGGAUGCACUCUUACACUUCAUCCAUCCAGCUCGUAUUCUAUGGUUGAGAUCUCCAUCUAAUUCUCCGUUCUCUUGCAAGAUAGAUCCUAGGUAGCGAAAACGGUCGCUUUUUGUGAUCUUCGCUAGAUUGCUCCGGUCAUUAGUGUGGAUAAGUAUAUAAAUGGAUAGAGAUAGGAAAGCAAACACAAGAUGUACGUGCUUCACCCAGAUUGGCUACGUCCACGUAAUAGAAGAGUUCUCAUUAAUUGUGAAGGGUUUACACAAGUACAUAGGUUCAAACUCUCCUUUAGUGAGUACAAGUGAAUGAUUUAGUACAAAUGACAUUAGGAAAUAUUGUGGGAGAAUGAUCUCGUAAUCACGAAACUUCUAAGUAUCGGAGUGUGGUGUCGUCUUGACUUGCCUUAUCUGUCUCAUAGGUAGAUGUGGCAUCUUCUCUGGAAGUACUCUUCCUCCAUCCAGGGGUGGUAUCUUUAACUGGUGGAGAUGCACAAGGUAAUGUAUCAAUUUCACUUGAAGCUUACUUGUAGUUUCAGGCUUGGUCAAGCGCGAUACAAACCAUGUAGUAGGAGUCCCCCAAGUCGCCGAGCUAGGGGGUCUGCUGAAAGAGGUGACAGACAAGGUAAGCAAUCAGAGCUCCGACUAAUUGUUCACCUUCUCCCCAUCUUGCAGCCGCAUGAAGGAUAAAGAGAAGAAAAAUGAGAAGAGAUGAUAUGAGAUACUUUUGCUUUUGAAGAAGUAACUUUCCACAGGCUUAUUCUUAAACUGAGCUGGAGGGUUUUCUGGUUUCCUCCAGAGUAUAAGGCCGACUGAAGAAUUUGAGGGUCAAAACAAGUCCAUCAAAUCUAGAGUACGUUCCACCCUGCUGAUAUGGGAUACUUUUGCUUUUGACAGAGUAAUGGAUGUAUCGGCACGUGUGCUGUUACACUUGUCUCCACAUGCUUCCUUGUAUCCUUCGCACUUGCCCUAUCUGUUCCUCAAGCAGAUGCGGAAUCUUCCCUGGAAACAUAAGAUGUUGAAGAUGAGUACUCGAGAGCAAUACCAGGUAAGUAAUCAGGUAAGGGGUUCCAGGCAGUCAGUUCCUGGCUGGAAGCUUGAUUCCAAGUGCUGACUGAUUGCUCUCUUUCUCCUUGUCUUGCAGGUAAAAACAAGGCCAAAGGAAAAGACAGGGAAAAAGCAUGAUAUGGGAUACUCUUGCUUUUAAUCCUGAUGAUAUGAGAUAUUCUUGCUCUAGUAUAGCUUGUUUACAGAGGUAUUAUCGGGGGGAAAGAAAGCUGAAUAUUUCGAAAGGCUUCGUUGGGAGUGCCCUCUCAGAUAUGAUGAAGGGUUGAGCAUUUUUGCAGGUCUGCCUGUCCGUUGGGGAUGGAGGUCGACAUAUAUAGGAGUCUCCCUAACAACAAGUAGUAAUGCUAUUCAUUUACCCUGCUUGGUCAUAGCACGGUAGUGGGAGCUGCCAGUUUCACAUGUUUUAACUCUGUCAGAGCACUUUGAAAAAGUGGUCUGUGGUAUCUGGCUCUCGAGAUUCGGAGAACGAUGCCUCUUCGAUUUUUGAGAAAGCAAUUAUGCUGGGGGUCUAGCUCUCGAGAUUCGGAGAGCAGUGUCUCUUCGAUUUUUGAGGAAGUAAUCAUGUUAGGAGUCUGGCUCUCGAGAUUCGGAGGGCGGUGCCUCUUCGAUUUUGGAGCAAGCAAUCAUGUUGGGAGUGUUGUCUCGAAUGUGAGUAAAGGUUGGGCAUGUUUGCUAGUCUACCUUGCCCCGAAGCACAAAGGUUGACACACAGGGACUUUCCAAUUAUCUAGCAAUGGUACUGUUCCUUUACCCUCUCUUCGCUUUUGAGAAAGUAGUCAUGUUGGGAGUCUGGCUCUCGAGAUUCGGAGGACGGUGCCUCUUCGAUUUUGGAGCAUGCAAUCUUGUUGGGAGUGUUUUCUCGAAUGUGAGUAAAGGUUGGGCAUGUUUGCGAGUCUACCUUGCCACGAAGCACAGAUGUUGACACACAGGAACUUUCCAAUUAUCCAGCAAUGGUACUGUUCCUUUACCCUUGUGGGUAAUAAUAUGGUAGCUAGACCUUCAAAAUUUAUGUGUCUAAACUUUGUUAGUGCUGUUUCUUUGCUAUUCUUUUACCUUUCUUGGUCAGAGCGAUGUAGUGGGAGCUGCAAGCUUCACGUGCUCAACUUUGGCAGAGAACUUUGGCAAAGUUAUCUGUGGUACCCAUGAGCUAUUGUUGCGUGUGGGAAGUGGGUGAUUGAACAGUAAGAUUCAUGUGCUUUCUACUUCACCAGAAGUCUUCGACAGAAUGCCCAUAAUUUCUGCAAAGCUGAGUGUGCGUGUGACAGGUGCUGACAAGGCUAGAAUAGUAGGUGCCUCUUCGAUUUCUGAGAUCGGCCCUCGUGGUAUCUGAGCAGCCCAGCUUUUGAGAAAGCGAGCGCCUCUUCGAUUGAUUCGGAGAACGAUGCCUCAUCGAUUUUUGAGAAAGCAAUCAUGCUGGGGGUCUGGCUCUCGAAGAUUCGGGGAGCAGUGUCUCUCCGAUUUUUGAGAAAGUAAUCAUGUUGGGAGUCUGGCUCUCGAGAUUCGGAGGGCGGUGCCUCUUCGAUUUUGGAGCAAGCAAUCUUGUUGGGAGUGUUUUCUCGAAUGUGAGUAAAGGUUGGGCAUGUUUGCUAGUCUACCUUGCUACGAAGCACAGAGGUUGACACACAGGGACUUUCCAAUUAUCCAGCAAUGGUACUGUUCCUUUACCCUCUCUUCGAUUUUUAAGAAAGUAGUCAUGUUGGGAGUCUGGCUCUCGAGAUUCGGAGGACGGUGCCUCUUCGAUUUUGGAGCAAGCAAUCUUAUUGGGAGUGUUUUCUCGAAUGUGAGUAAAGGUUGGGCAUGUUUGCUAGUCUACCUUGCCACGAAGCACAGAGGUUGACACACAGGGACUUUCCAAUUAUCCAGCAGUGGUACUGUUCCUUUACCCUUGUGGGUAAUAAUAUGGUAGCUAGACCUUCAAAAUUUAUGGGUCUAAACUUUGUUAGUGCUGUUUCUUUGCUAUUCUUUUACCCUUCUUGGUCAGAGCGAUGUAGUGGGAGCUGCAAGCUUCACGUGCUCAACUUUGGCAGAGAACUUUGGCAAAGUUAUCUGUGGUACCCAUGAGCUAUUGUUGCGUGUGGGAAGUGGGUGAUUGAACAGUAAGAUUCAUGUGCUUUCUACUUCACCAGAAGUCUUCGACAGAAUGCCCAUAAUUUACACAAAGCUGAGUGUGCGUGUGACAGGUGCUGACAAGGCUGGAAAAGUAGGUGCCUCUUCGAUUUCUGAGAUCGGCCCUCGUGGUCUCUAGGGAGCCCAGCUUUUGAGAAAGCGAGCGCCUCUUCGAUUUCUGAGAUCGACCUUCAUGGUCUUUGAGCAGCCCAACUUUUGAGAAAGCAAACGCCUCUUCGAUUUCUGAGAUCAACCCUCGUGAUCUCUAAGCAGCCCAGCUUUUGAGAAAGCAAACGCCUCUUCGAUUUCUGAGUAGGCGCCUCUUCGAUUUCUGAAGCUCCGUCGAGUGCAGAUUUUUAUAGGGGCUGGCAUUAAGUUCCAAAGCACACUUGAAUCUCCACCAGUAGAAGCUUCAUUCUUGCACUUCUAAGAUCUUGAUUUGUCCGACCUCUUCUCUCUUCAACACCUUUGAAAAUGUCUGGCCCCUCCGACCGUCGUUUUGACUUGAACCUUGUUGAAGAGGCAGCCCCGCCUUCUCCAGACAACAUAUGGCGUUCAUCCUUCGUCUCCCCUACUGGUCCUCUUACCGUUGGGGAUUCCAUGAUGAAGAAUGAUAUGACCGCUGCGGUGGUGGCCAGGAACCUUCUCACUCCCAAAGAUAACAGACUACUUUCCAAACGGUCUGAUGAGUUAGCUGUUAAGGAUUCGCUGGCUCUCAGUGUUCAGUGUGCAGGUUCUGUGUCUAAUAUGGCCCAACGCCUAUUUGCUCGAACCCGCCAAGUUGAAUCAUUGGCGGCUGAAGUGAUGAGUCUCAAACAGGAGAUUAGAGGGCUCAAGCAUGAGAAUAAACAGUUGCACCGGCUCGCACAUGACUAUGCUACAAACAUGAAGAGGAAGCUUGACCAGAUGAAGGAAACUGAUGGUCAGGUUUUACUUGAUCAUCAGAGAUUUGUGGGUUUGUUCCAAAGGCAUUUAUUGCCUUCGUCUUCUGGGGCGGUACCGCGUAAUGAAGCUCCGAAUGAUCAACCUCUGAUGCCUCAUCCUUCUAGGGUUCUGUCCAGUACUGAGACUCCAAAUGAUCCCCCUCCGGUGCCUUCUCUUUCUGGGGCUCUACCGACUGCUGAGACUUCUCCUAAGCAACCUUUGUGAAGGCUCCCUCUUGUGUGUUUAUUUUGACUCAUGUAUAUGUACAUAUUUGUAGCUUAUCGGGGAUAUCAAUAAAUAAGCUUUCCUUCAUUUCAACGUAUUGUGUUAAAUACACCAAAGCCUUCUUCGCUAAGUUCUUUGAAUUUUCUUUUGUUGAAGCUUGUAUGUUGAAGCUUUCUGGGUGGAGCAUGUAGGUUGGGGUAGUGUUCCCUUAAUUUCCCGAGUGAGGAAAACUUCUCGGUUGGAGACUUGGAAAAUCCAAGUCACUGAGUGGGAUCGGCUAUAUGAAUCUUAGAACGCCAUUGUGCUCGAUCCUGAGUCAUGUCCUUCGUUAGAUCCAAGUACUCUAAGUCUUUUCUUAGAGUCUCUUCCAAAGUUUUCCUAGGUCUUCCUCUACCCCUUCGGCCCUGAACCUCUGUCCCAUAGUCGCAUCUUCUAAUCGGAGCGUCAGUAGGCCUUCUUUGCACAUGUCCAAACCACCGUAACCGAUUUUCUCUCAUCUUUCCUUCAAUUUCGGCUACUCCUACUUUACCCCGGAUAUCCUCAUUCCUAAUCUUAUCCUUUCUCGUGUGCCCACACAUCCAACGAAGCAUCCUCAUCUCCGCUACACCCAUUUUGUGUACGUGUUGAUGUUUCACCGCCCAACAUUCUGUGCCAUACAGCAUCGCCGGCCUUAUUGCCGUCCUAUAAAAUUUUCCCUUGAGCUUCAGUGGCAUACGGCGGUCACACAACACGCCGGAUGCACUCUUCCACUUCAUUCAUCCAGCUUGUAUUCUGUGGUUGAGAUCUCCAUCUAAUUCUUCGUUCUUUUGCAAGAUAGAUCCUAGGUAAUGAAAACGGUCGCUCUUUGGUAUUUCUUGAUCUCCGAUCCUCACCCCUAACUCGUUUUGGCCUCCAUUUGCACUGAACUUGCACUCCAUAUAUUCUGUCUUUGAUCGGCUUAGGCGAAGACCUUUAGAUUCCAACACUUCUCUCCAAAGGUUAAGCUUUGCAUUUACCCCUUCUUGAGUUUCAUCUAUCAACACUAUAUCGUCUGCGAAAAGCAUACACAAAGGAAUAUCAUCUUGAAUAUGUCCUGUUAACUCAUCCAUUACCAACGCAAAAAGGUAAGGACUUAAGGAUGAGCCUUGAUGUAAUCCUACAGUUAUAGGAAAGCUUUCGGUUUGUCCUUCAUGAGUUCUUAUGGCAGUCUUUGCUCCUUCAUACAUAUCCUUUAUAGCUUGGAUAUAUGCUACUCGUACUCAUUUCUUCUCUAAAAUCCUCCAAAGAAUGUCUCUUGGGACCCUAUCAUACGCUUUUUCCAAAUCUAUAAAGACCAUGUGUAAAUCCUUUUUCCCAUCUCUAUAUCUUUCCAUCAAUCUUCGUAAGAGAUAGAUUGCCUCCAUGGUUGAGCGCCCUGGCAUGAACCCGAAUUAGUUGUCCGAAACCCGUGUCUCUUGCCUCAAUCUAUGCUCAAUGACUCUCUCCCAGAGCUUCAUUGUAUGACUCAUUAGCUUAAUACCCCUAUAGUUCAUGCAAUUUUGUACGUCACCCUUAUUCUUGUAGAUAGGCACCAAAGUGCUCGUUCGCCACUCAUUUGGCAUCUUCUUCGUUUUCAAAAUCCUAUUGAAAAGGUCAGUGAGCCAUGUUAUACCUGUCUCUCCCAAAAGUUUCCACACUUCGAUUGGUAUAUUGUCUGGGCCUAUUGCUUUUUUAUGCUUCAUCUUCUUCAAAGCUACAACCACUUCUUCCUUCCGGAUUCGACGAUAAAAAGAGUAGUUUCUACACUCUUCUGAGUUACUCAACUCCCCUAAAGAAGCACUCAUUUCAUGUCCUUCAUUGAAAAGAUUAUGAAAAUAACCUCUCCAUCUGUCUUUAACCGCGUUCUCUGUAGCAAGAACCUUUCCAUCCUCAUCCUUGAUGCACCUCACUUGGUUUAGGUCCCUUGUCUUCUUUUCCCUUGCUCUAGCUAGUUUAUAGAUAUCCAACUCUCCUUCUUUGGUAUCUAGUCGUUUAUACAUAUCGUCGUAAGCCGCUAACUUAGCUUCUCUGACAGCUUUCUUCGCCUCUUGCUUCGCUUUUCUAUACCUUUCACCAUUUUCAUCGGUCCUCUCCUUGUAUAAGGCUUUACAACAUUCCUUCUUAGCCUUCACCUUUGUUUGUACCUCCUCAUUCCACCACCAAGAUUCCUUUUGGUGUGGGGCAAAGCCUUUGGACUCUCCUAAUACCUCUUUUGCUACUUUUCGGAUACAACUAGCCAUGGAAUCCCACAUUUGGCUAGCUUCCCCCUCUCUAUCCCACACACAUUGGGUGAUUACCUUCUCUUUGAAAAAUGACUUGUUUUUCUUCUUUUAGAUUCCACCAUCUAGUCCUUGGGCACUUCCAAGUCUUGUUCUUUUGUCUUACUCUUUUGAUAUGUACAUCCAUCACCAACAAGCGAUGUUGAUUAGCCACGCUCUCUCCUGGUAUAACUUUGCAAUCCUUACAAGUUAUACGAUCCCCUUUCCUCAUUAGAAGAAAAUCUAUUUGUGUUUUUUUACGACCCACUCUUGUAGGUGAUCACAUGUUCUUCUCUCUUCUUAAAGAAGGUGUUGGCUAAGAAGAGAUCAUAUGCCAUUGCAAAAUCCAAGAUAGCUUCCCCAUCCUCGUUUCUCUCCCCAAAAUCAUGGCCACCAUGAAAACCUCCAUAGUUGCCUGUCUCCCUGCCCACGUGUCCAUUUAAAUCUCCUCCUAUAAAUAACUUCUCCGUCUGAGCAAUUCCUUGCACCAAGUCUCCAAGAUCUUCCCAAAAUUUCUCCUUCGAACUCGUAUCCAACCCUACUUGAGGUGCGUACGCACUAAUCACAUUGAUAAGUUCUUGUCCUAUUACAAUCUUGAUUGCCAUGAUUCUAUCUCCUACCCUCUUGACAUCUACAACAUCUUGUACCAAGGUCUUGUCCACGAUGAUGCCAACACCAUUUCUCGUUCUAUUUGUGCCCGAAUACCAAAGUUUAAACCCUGAGUUUUCUAGAUCCUUUGCCUUACUACCAACCCACUUAGUUUCUUGUAGGCACAUAAUAUUUAUCCUUCUCCUCACCAUAACUUCCACUACUUCCAUAGAUUUUCCCGUUAAGGUUCCUAUAUUCCACGUUCCUAAACGCAUUUUGCUCUCUUGAACUCUACACUUCUGUCCUAGCUUCUUCACCCUCCCCCGUCUAAUAGGAUCAAAGUACUUCUUUUGUGUGUCCCGGGUAAAGUUGAUAGGAGCAUAUGCUCCCAAACAACUUUGAGUGGAGUCGUUCGAAAAGAAGUUUCUAUGGCCCCCUUGCUCAUUUAACACUGCAUCCGGGUGCCGAUGGAGAUACAGCGACCCUUGCUCGCUUAUCACUGUGCUCGGGCCACACAGCGCGCCACUUACGGGUGACGCCCUAGCUUUAACGCGAUUUUGUUCUGGAUUCAUUUUCAUAAGGAUUCGACGUGAUCAUGGAGUGCCGGCUGUCGACUACCUGACGCCCUCCCCUCUCUCCUUUAUCCGGGCUUGGGACCGGCCAUGUAAGACAUAGGCGGAGUUGAAAACCAAAAUAGGCCAAAUUGAAUUAUUCAUCCUUGUGGUCAUAGGAAACUUGCAUGAUGACCCCGUGAUGAAAAAAUUAGGAAUUAAACCCCUGUGGUCAAGAAUGUUAGAAAAUUUAGUCCAAAAGUAAGAUUUCUGUUAAAUGACUGUUAAAAGUAUGGGUAAAACUGUAUUUUCAGUUCCAAUUGACAUUUAAAAUAAAUAAAUAUUUUUUAUAACAAUUAACAAAAAAAAUAAUGCUUAAUUUUUUAAAUAAAAAAAAGCCCCAAUUCAAUGUCAAUUGAAACUGAAAAUACAGUUUUACUCCAACUUUUAAGUUUUAACAGUCCUUUAACAGAAAUCUUACUUUUGGACUAGAUUUGCUAACAUUUUAGACCAUCGGGAUUUAAUUCCUAGUUUUUUCACCAUAGGGGUCAUCAUGCAAGUGUCCUAUGACCAUGGGAUGAACAAUUCAAUUUGGCCAACCAAAUAACACGAUGCAUAUAUACUUCAUCGACAAAUAUAUAUAUACCGCCACCGCUACUCAGUAGUAUCCUCAUGUACACUGAUCAUGCACUGCCAUCAGAGCAAGCCGAUCUCUGCCUGCUUGUCAAGCCCUUCAACUUUGCCAUUCAUACCCACCGGCACCACGUUCCCCACCGCCCUGUCCACCUUGCCAACCACAUUCCUCUUGGCCACCUUCUUCCCAGCCUUGACCACCUUUGCCUCCCUAGCCACCGCCUUCCCUACCACGUUCCUCUUGGCCACCUUCUUCGGAUUAUACUCGGAUUAUUUCAACAAUAUAAAUUAAUGCAUACUGCUUUUGCCAGUUCCGGAAGUGGAGAGAGCUGUUUACAGCACAUGCUCUGUUGAAGGAUCCAGAAAAUAAUAUUAGGAGGAUCAGUAAGAAUAAUACGCAAUAUUUUUUACCAAAAAUAGCAUGCAUAUCGCUAUUUCAUCGAGUCUUAGGUCGUCUAAGAUCAUUUAGAAAUGAAUGCCCCCUCAUUUACGAGAGUAACUAACAUCUUCUAAGACUGCUCCCAUAUAAAUGCUUAACAAAAAAACACACUAACAAUGUUUGAUACCAUUACAUCCCAUUAAUAUAUUUAUCUAAGAAUAAUGAUGUUUUGUUAUUCACUGAGAUGAUCAUUUCAUUCACUCUUCUUUCAGACAUUUUAUCAAAUAGUUAGAGAGCAUGAAUGAAGCCAACUUUAAUCUUCAAAAAGGCACACUGAAAUUCGAAGCAUCAGCACCUAAGAUGUACCCAUGAACGUUCAUCGAAGUUGGAGAGGUCAGCUGACCCCUGUGCAUCCGCCACUGCUGUGAACUAAGUCGGAAACGAAGAUGUCAUUAAAUCUGUGCCACCACUUGCCGCAUCCAAUGGUUUCCAACUAGAAACUCCCUUCCCGGAAUGGCACGGCCGUGGUGUCCCCAGUGUCGAGGGCGGUAAGUGGCAUGCUUAAAUCUUGACAAAAUGUUGAGAUAUUGGUAUCUCAACAUUGCUCUGUUUUCUAGGUCCGGCGAUGAAUCAGAAGCGCCUAACGGAACCGGCAUAGGCUCAAACAGAACCUCGAAGAGGCUGAGGAAUUACGCAGUGCCUCAUCCCAAUCUGUUUAAAAUGCUAACACACGGAACAACGUAUAUGGCGUAAUUCCAAACACACAUAUUACGAACUUUGUUUGAUUACGUUCGUAAAAUGCUCGGUUAUUCGAGUUAUUUGUUCCGUUGAUUCGCGUUUUUGAAGCCAAUUUUAUGAUAACAUAAACAAAAAUGGAAAUAAAACACAUAAUAUGCUUCAUUGAUCUGAAAAACCAACAAGCUUAUAAUACCACAACACAAACAUAACAAACACAUCCAGAAAACACCAACGAAGCCCUAAAAUCCACACACAAACCCUUAUGUUUUAUAAUCCCUGCACGAUUAUUCUCAUAACCCAAAUCACAGAAACAGUUUCAAGCAAUCUUGACCUCGAUUGUCUUCGGCUUCUUCGGCUCCGGCGGCGGCAGCUUCUGCACCGUGACAGUCAAAACCCCAUCCUGGCAAACAGCAGAAAUCGCAUCCACGUUCGCGUUCUCCGGCAACACAAACUUCCUCAUGAACUUGCCGACCCUCCGCUCCAUCCUCACGUACUUAGCCCCUUCUCUCUACAGAAGCAUCAAACUAAUGUAGUUUAGAUGUCCAUAUCUUCUAUGCCACAACUGAGAUGACUCUUCAACAGUUGCUCUAUUAGCCAUGUGAGGAUUAACAUAUUCCAAACUUAAUGGAAAGCAUCUGUUUCCUUUCAUUGGAACACUUGCAAUCAGAUCUUCCAUCUGUCUAUCUCCAUAAAUAUCAACCAUGUAAUCACCAAAACACAAGCCAAUGUCCAUGUUCUACCAUCUGCCUUACACUCAAUAAGUUUUUCAUCCAAUCUAGGUACAAUCAUAACUUCUUUAAUAUACCUAGUCACACCUUUCAUCUCAAUCACCAAUGUGCCUUUGCCUAUUGACUGCACUAAAUCUCCAGUGCCCAUUUUAACUCUACACUUCACAUUCUUAUCAACAUCAAUAAGCAAGGAUUCAUGGGAGGUCAUAUGAUUGCUACAUGCACUAUCUACAUACCAUAUAUUCAUACUUCUUCCAAUAGUAGCAGAAUGGCAGGCAUAAAACAUGGUUGCAUAUUCUAUUACCUGAUUCACAUAGUUUACAAGUUUUCCAGACUUGUUUGGUUGAUCACAAUCCUUGAUGAAAUGACCGAAACGAUUGCAUCCAUGACAUUUCGGCUUCCCUUUAAACCAGCACUCACCAUAGUGCAGUUUAUCACAAUGCUUGUAUUUUCCCUUAGACUGAUCAGAUUUUCCUCCUUGAUCAUAUUUGCCACCUCGAUUAGCAAGAUUCUGAGGUUUAGGAUCCCAUUUCUUUCCUUUUGAUUUCCAAUCCUUCUUUGGUUUAGAAUUACCAAACGAGAGAUUUGGUUGGGUUCCUUUUGAAUUCAGAUUCAGAGUACUGAAAGCUCUUUCAAUGGUACUCUCAGCAUGCCUAUCAAGGCGUUGUGCAAACCCUCUUAAUGCUGCAAUCACCUCUUGUACCUCAAUAGUUUCAAUAUCCUUGGUUUGUUCAAUUACAUAACAAACAGGAUCAAACUCCUUAGUUAAGCUUAUGAGCAAUUUCUGAACUAAUCGUUCUCUGGGUAAAUCUUCCCCAUAACCCUUCAUCUGAUUUACCAACUCGAGAAGACGAGUGAGAUACAUAGACAGAGUUUCAUCAUCCUUCAUCCUUGUGUACUCGAAAUCACGGCGUAGACCCUGCAACUUGAUGGAUCUCACUUGCUUAUCACCAUGAAAUUCCUGAUGUAGGAUAUCCCAAGCACCCUUUGAGGUCUCUUCGUUUGAGAUUCUGGGAAAGAUGUCAUCCGAGACAGCUCCUUGGAUUAUACCCAGUGCCUUAGCAUCCUUCAUUAGCUUGUCGCUCAGAGAAACUCUCUCUGACUCCGAUGAGCCUUCAUCUCCAAUCUUCUUAUCCUUCGAUUAUGAAAUUUCAAACCCCUUUUCAAACUAAAUCCCAGAUUCCAUGUGAUUUGAAAAUAGUUCUCAUUCGAAUCUUCCAAAAUUCAUAGUUGUCACCAUUGAAUAUUGGAGCCCGAAGAUCACUACCACCAGAUCCAGCCAUUUGAGACUUGAAUCGACAAAACUGAGUUGGAAAUUUCACGUUGGAUUUCCAAGCACAGCACUCACAGAUCUUACGCCCCGAUUCCAGAUAGAACCUGUGCUCUAGAUACCAUGUUAAGUUUUUAGUAAGCUGAUAUAUUCAGGAAUUGGAUUUUAAAGGAAGCUGAAAAGACAGAGAGGGUGAGAGGCAAGGUUUUUCACAACUGCAACUCUGUUACUAUGCAGAGAGCAACAUUUCAUUCAUAUACAUUCCUUUCUUUUACAUCAGACAUCAUAAUAUCCGUUCAAUUACACGAGUCAAUGUGAUUUUUGACACAUGGCAGAACAAAGCAUAUGAGCCAUUGAAAAAGAGUCUUGAUCUAAGACCAUACACUUGGCAUAUGAGCACAAGUUAUCACAUCAUAAAACAGCUACUCAAUAGAACAAAGAUAAAAUAGAUAAGUAAAUCAUUUACUAACUUGAAAUUAGUAAGCAAUUUACUUUUCAACAAUCACUAGCUAAGUCACCAAUCAAGGCAUAUGGAAUAUGACUAAUUUAAUUAAGAAGACCAUGUGAGUCCCACUUUGAUUGGUUGUUUAUUUUUCUAUCUUCUGAUAUGAUAUGUUUCUUGUCUUAGUAGAGUCAUGUUUUGAUCCAUCUCUCAUUUUUCUUAAUUAAAUUAUUAUCAAGUUUAUAUUAAUUGCGCCUAAACCACAUAUAUAUGAUAGUGCCUUAUGACUAUAUGAGAUACUAAUUAAUAUGAUUAGGUUUCUCUUUGGUGGUAGUGGUAUAAAAGCUUAUAUGAAUGAAUUCCCGUAACCUAAUACUGCUAAUCAUAUAAGUGGAGAAUAUAUAUAGUUGAUAUAUAUUUCAUGAACUAAUACAAGCAAAUGUAAUUAAUGCUAGUGACAUGUAUUAAUUGGCAAAAGUUUUUUACAUGCAUCAACUGUUAAGAGUUGUCAGAGAUUGCAAUAAGACAGAGCCUAAUAUUCUUCUCCAGCUAGAUAUAUUGUUUCUUAGCAUAAGAAUGUGAACAUGAUAUUCCACACAAAUAACGCCCCAUAUGAUAAGAGCAUCUUAGUAAAAUAGGCCAAUUUUUUAUGUCAUGUAGGCAAAAACAUGCUCAACUGGGUGUAGUUAAUUGGGUAGGCAAAUUUUACCCACUUCAACACUGCCCUACUUUCAACAUUAUAGGUAAAUUGGGUUUAACGUCUCUAUUUAUAGUAGAGUAUUUCAUGUGGACGAAGAAGAUAAAUUAAAAUAUAAAAGAUGAAAAAAAUAGUAAAUAAAAUUUUGUCUACUUAAUCUAUUACUUAUUUUAUUAGAGUAACACAUUUCAUAAAAUAAUUGUAAUACAUUUUUAUUUGAUUUGGCGUCAUUGGAAAGUGCGUGAAGGAUUUGAGCUUCUUCUCUACACUUCCAUGGGGCCAGGAAUACGUGCUGUAUAUUUUAUUACCGUCAUAUCAUCAAAAGAUCAAAAAAUAUAUAUGUGUUCUUACAAGUUUUACCAAAAGAAAUGGGAGUAGUGACGUCAGAUUUGUGUAGUUGCUUCUGCUCAAUGCGAUCUGCCAAAGUCGGAUGUACGUCAAACAACACAAUCUUCGCCUCUGAGUUGGGCCAAACUGCUUUUCUGCAACUGGAAGCUUCCUUUUUCGGCGUUUAGCUUUUACAAGUGGCAAAGUGUAGAAGCCAUUCCAGUUUUGACUAAAAAGUGGUUUUCAAUUUUACUAUUUUAGCGGGUUUCGGUUUUACGUUUACUUUGCGGCUUCUAGGGUUUCUUGCUUUUUACUGCCACAAGUGUAAUUGAUUAGGCUGUGUCGGAUUUUUACAGCUAACUAUGAUUAGGAGAAAGAUUAAGCGUAAAAAAAUGUUGUAAAUUUUGCCUUGUUUAUAACCCAGGAAAGAUUUGCUUUGCUUUUUUUAACAUGGAAUAUUGAUAUGUAUUUAAUUAACUACAUGAUAUUGAUACGUAUCCUUUUUAACUUAUCUCUACGCUUUGGUAUAAAUUGAACCAAUCAGAGGAGAAUGAAAACAUGAAAAUUGAUACCUUUUUUUUCAUUUUUGCCUUUAAUCAUGUUUUCGGCUUUUGCUUAUUAUAGUAUGUGGAUUCUAUGUCCAAUCCCACCCAAAAGAAUAGUAAUUGUGCUGCAUAAAUUGGCAUAUAGCGAAGCCCAAUCCAGUACAUACUAAUAAUUGGGUUCUAGCCCAAGCCUUGAAAAACAAUUUCAGGGGAGGAGUUAUAAGCAUAUACUAAUGUGAGAGACCAAGGAAUUAACAUUUGUUAUUCAUCAGUUCAAAUAUGUAUGAGAUGGAUAACCAUAUGAGUAUGUACAUCUAUCUACAUCUAUCACAAAAAUUGAUCGCAUAUCGUAUUGCAGAUGAGUUCUGCCUCCAUUACAGAUGUGGUUUUUUAUGUUCUCACCGCCGAACAAGUAGUUUGUGUUUGGGUUAAAACUUAAACUUUGGGCUUAAAAGGGAGUUGGCCCAAAAGGAGGAGAGAAGCCCGAAGCCUAGCCGAAUCCCAGGAGGCCGAAGAGGCCCUUUUCUGACUAGGUGCAGACCAUGUGAACCACUUGCUCACCUACCCAAAGACCAAAUGGUAUAGACCAGCCAGCUAAUCAGCCCAAAAGUACUUUACAAUGACAGUACAAGUAAAUAGCUGAUGAGUCACUACCCUUCAAGAUGCAUUCGGGCAGGAUUACUGCUACAGGAGGCCAAGCCGAAGUGUCUAUAAAAGAAGAAAGAGAAAUCAGAGUUAAGGACACUCAAUCAAACAAACAAAUACAAGCACAAACUCUGCUCAAAACCCUUUGUGAUAGCUCUGCUACCUUGUCCUAAGCUUGCUGUAGUAUCGAUUUCUUUCUGUAAACUCAUCUCCCUACCCCCAUUUCUAAAAGCUCAAACCCCUUGAUAAACCACAAAGAUAGGAAAUUGCAAGACGAUUAGCCUUACCCGACAAGGUUAAACCUUGCCUGAACCUCUUUGUUUUUGUCUUGUCAUUCAUUAGCCUAGCAAUAUGUUGUAUACUUCCAGUUGUAUUCAAGUUAUUUCUCGUAAGAUGACUAUUAAAAGACUCUCUCAGUGCUGGAAUCCAAUUUGAAUAUGUCUUCACAGUUCAAACCAGAUCUAAGUUCUAAGCUCUCGGGCAUGUAAAAUUGAUCAUUUAAAAGUCCUUGGUCUCAAGGCAGAAAAAAAACCUUAUGUGGACUUAACCCAUCCACGACAAGCUUUGAUAACAAGAAGUCCGAAGUUACUUGGGGUGCAAGUAAUCGAUUUAUUUCUUAGUUUUAUUUCUAUUACAUUAUGAUUAUAGUAGAACGUUUGAGUAUAGAAGGAAUUCUGAUGGGAAGCCUCAAGGCCUAUAUCUGAGGCCAUACAAAGGCAUCUAUUUGUAUUCAUUCUGCUCUACGGGUUCAGAUAAUCAGAAGUAUAAUGGUUAUAACACUUCUGCAAACAAUAAAACAGGCAUCGUAUAUUCGAGUACUGGGUUAGUUCUUGAUCGGAAGCCUCAAGGCCUACAUCUAAGGCCCCACAAAGGCACCCGUCAUAACUAACACGGUCGCUCGGGUAUAUGUGCAACUAAAAUUCAACAUCCAUUUUACAUCGGCCAUGCUAAAGAUAGCAGUGGCACGCCUGAGCACUUAAAAGUUAAUCUUGAUUGUGAGCCUUAAGGCCUACACCUAAGGCCCCACAANNNNNNNNNNNNNNNNNNNNNNNNNNNNNNNNNNNNNNNNNNNNNNNNNNNNNNNNNNNNNNNNNNNNNNNNNNNNNNNNNNNNNNNNNNNNNNNNNNNNNNNNNNNNNNNNNNNNNNNNNNNNNNNNNNNNNNNNNNNNNNNNNNNNNNNNNNNNNNNNNNNNNNNNNNNNNNNNNNNNNNNNNNNNNNNNNNNNNNNNNNNNNNNNNNNNNNNNNNNNNNNNNNNNNNNNNNNNNNNNNNNNNNNNNNNNNNNNNNNNNNNNNNNNNNNNNNNNNNNNNNNNNNNNNNNNNNNNNNNNNNNNNNNNNNNNNNNNNNNNNNNNNNNNNNNNNNNNNNNNNNNNNNNNNNNNNNNNNNNNNNNNNNNNNNNNNNNNNNNNNNNNNNNNNNNNNNNNNNNNNNNNNNNNNNNNNNNNNNNNNNNNNNNNNNNNNNNNNNNNNNNNNNNNNNNNNNNNNNNNNNNNNNNNNNNNNNNNNNNNNNNNNNNNNNNNNNNNNNNNUGGAAGAGGUGAAUGUCGGUUAACCUUACGCCCAUUUUAUGGAGAGGCUGCUCCCAAGUCUCGAACCCGAGACCUACCGCUCAUGAACCAGAAAUAGUAUGCAUAUCAUUAUUUAAUCGAGUCUUGGUAAACCUGAAGUCAUUUGGAAAAACAUAUUGCAAACCUAUUAAUGCCCCAUUUACGUGAGUAACUAACAUGUUCCAAAGCUACUUCCAUAUGAAUGCUUAACAAAAAAACAAACUUAUCUUGAACGCACUAAAAAUGUUUGAUAUCAUUGCAUCUCAUUAAUAUGGUUGUCCAAGAAUGAUAAUGUUUUGUUAUUUAUUGAGAUCACCAUUUCAUUCACUCUUCAUUCACAUUCUAUCAAACAAUUGGAAGACAUGGAUGGAACCAACUCUAAUCUUAAAAAUAGCAACAUCAAGGUAUCCAUGAAUAUACACUAAAGCUCGGAAGAUCGACACUCAAAGUAUCCAUAAACGUUCACCGAAGUUCGAAGGGUUAGCUGACCCCCUACCCCUCAAUGCAUCCGCCACUACUGUCAACCAAGUCGGAAACGAAGAUGUCAUUAAAUCUGUGCCACCACUUGCUGCAUCCAAUGGUUUCCAACUAGAAACUCCCUUCCCGGAAUGGCACCGCCGUGGUGUCCUCAGUGUCAGUGGCAUCCUUAAAUCUUGACAAAAAUGUUGAGAUAUUGGUAUCUCAACAUUGCUCUGUUUUCUAGGUCCGGCGACCAAUCAGAGGCGCCUAACGGAACCGGCAUAGGCUCGAACAGAACCUCAAAGAGGCAGAGAAAUUAUGCAGUACCUCAUCUCAAUCUGUUUAAACUUUAAAAUGCUGACACACGGAACAAAGUAUAUGGUGUAAUUCCAAACACACUCAUAUUACGAACUCUGUUUGAUUACGUUCGUAAAAUGCUCGGUUAUUCGAGUUAUUUGUUCCGUUGAUUCGCGUUUUUGAAGCCAAUUUUAUGAUAACAUAAACAAAAAUGGAAAUAAAACACAUAAUAUGCUUCAUUGAUCUGAAAAACCAACAAGCUUAUAAUACCACAACACAAACAUAACAAACACAUCCAGAAUACACCAACGAAGCCCUAAAAUCCACACACAAACCCUUAUGUUAUAAUCCCUGCACGAUUAUUCUCAUAACCCAAAUCACAGAAACAGUUUCAAGCAAUCUUGACCUCGAUUGUCUUCGGCUUCUUCGGCUCCGGCGGCGGCAGCUUCUGCACUGUGACAGUCAAAAACCCCAUCCUGGCAAACAGCAGAAAUCGCAUCCACAUUAGCAUUCUCCGGCAACACAAACUUCCUCAUGAACUUGCCGACCCUCCGCUCCAUCCUCACGUACUUAGCCCCUUCCUUCUCCUCCUCCCGCUUCCUCUCGCCGCUGAUCAGAAGCACAUUGUCGUCCUCCACCUGGACCUUGAUGUCCCCGGACUUCAGUCCCGGCAUGUCCACCACGAACACGUAGGAGGUCGGGUACUCCUUGACGUCUGCCGGCGUGGAGGCCAUGGCCUUGGCGUCGCGGAAGUAGGUCCGGGUGGGGGCGUUGAAGGAUUUCUCGGCGUCGUCGGCGGCGUCGAUGAUGUGCUGAAGUGUGGAGAAGAGCGGGGCAUCCAAACCCUGGAUUCUGACAUCCAUUCUUCCCUUCUUGGUGGGUGGAAUUUUUGCUUUUCGGUUUUGAUUUGAAGGCUUUUGUGAGUUUUCGAGUGGGAAUCUCGUCGCUGUUACGGAGGGGAGUAGUGGUUGUGGGUAUUUAUAGGAGGAGUUGAGGGAGGACGGGGGUUAGCGGGGAGGGAAAAUGAAUGUUCUGGAGAAACGUGGAAGGAAGGGAGGAGGUUCCAGUAGGUCCCAUUUCUUCUGUGAGCGUCUAGAACAUUCUGGAAGCGUUUACUAGGUAGGGGCAGGGCCCCUAUAGCCAUUUAUGAGAUAUUUUGUUGGGAAAGAACCAAAAAGCUAAAAUAGAUAACAGUACUAAAUUAAAAGAUAAUCACCAAAAAGCAAAAGAGAAAAAUGUGACGAAGAUAAUCGUGCACUUAAUUUUGUUAUGUGAAGAAACAAACGAAAAUUAAUUCGAUAAAUCGACGGCUAGAGGUAUUCUCCCUGUUUGGUUCAAUCAUUUAGGGCACUUUUCAAAUUACAUAGAUAAUGAGUUAAAUGACUAGUUUGAUUAACAUUUCAUAAAUAAUAUAACAAUGGUCAAUCUACUGGGACGAACACUUCAUAAAUAAUGUAACAAUGGUCAAUCUAAUGAUAUUCUUGGUGACGAAUUGAGAAUAUAUUAAAUAUGAGCCACCAAAAGACAAGUAAAUUCCUAGUAGCACCACUUUUUAAAUUAUUAAAUAAUAUUAUUAUUAGAAAAAAAAGUAAACUCUAAAAUAAGGUUAUCAAUUGGUACACAAAUAAGAGCUCGUUUUGAUGUGCUUUUAAAAUAAUUGAAAAUACUUUUAAAGAAAAUAUUUGUAGGUUCCAAAAGCACUUAAGUGUUUUCUACAAAAAUAACCAUUUAUGUGCUUCUUUCAAGAAGCACUUUAUGUGCUUUUCUAAGAUUUACUACUAUUUUUACUAAGGAUUGUUUCCAAAAAAUAUUUUCACUAAAAGCGCUUUCAGUCAUUUUAAAAACAUAUCCAAACGAAUCCCAAGUUAUUAAAAAUGCUGGUUUUAUAUCCAAAUUGGAAGAUUACAAUAUAUAUCUGAAGUCAAGACGGCACCCACCUUCCUUUCCUUCUUUUUCUUUUUAUAUGAAAGACCAAAAUGAAAAACAGAAACAAAGCAUACAAAUUUACAGCAAACACAGAAAACCAAAUAGGCCAACAACAACAAAACAACAACAACAAAGCCUUUUCCCACUAAGUGGGGUCGGCUAUAUGAAUCCUAGAACGCCAUUGCGCUCGGUUUUGUGUCAUGUCCUCCGUUAGAUCCAAGUACUCUAAGUCUUUUCUUAGAGUCUCUUCCAAAGUUUUCCUAGGUCUUCCUCUAUCCCUUCGGCCCUGAACAUCUGUCCCGUAGUCACAUCUUCGAACCGGAGCGUCAGUCGGCCUUCUUUGCACAUGUCCAAAUCACCGGAGCCGAUUUUCUCUCAUCUUUCCUACAAUUUCGGCUACUCCUACUUUACCUCGGAUAUCCUCAUUCCCAAUCUUAUCCUUUCUCGUGUGCCCACACAUCCCACAAAGCAUCCUUAUCUCCGCUACACCCAUUUUGUGUACGUGUUGAUGUUUCACCGCCCAACAUUCUGUGCCAUACAACAUCGCUGGCCUUAUUGCUGUCCUAUAAAAUUUUCCCUUGAGCUUCAGUGGCCUACGACAGUCACACAACACGCCGGAUGCACUCUUACACUUCAUCCAUCCAGCUCGUAUUCUAUGGUUGAGAUCUCCAUCUAAUUCUCCGUUCUCUUGCAAGAUAGAUCCUAGGUAGCGAAAACGGUCGCUUUUUGUGAUCUUCGCUAGAUUGCUCCGGUCAUUAGUGUGGAUAAGUAUAUAAAUGGAUAGAGAUAGGAAAGCAAACACAAGAUGUACGUGCUUCACCCAGAUUGGCUACGUCCACGUAAUAGAAGAGUUCUCAUUAAUUGUGAAGGGUUUACACAAGUACAUAGGUUCAAACUCUCCUUUAGUGAGUACAAGUGAAUGAUUUAGUACAAAUGACAUUAGGAAAUAUUGUGGGAGAAUGAUCUCGUAAUCACGAAACUUCUAAGUAUCGGAGUGUGGUGUCGUCUUGACUUGCCUUAUCUGUCUCAUAGGUAGAUGUGGCAUCUUCUCUGGAAGUACUCUUCCUCCAUCCAGGGGUGGUAUCUUUAACUGGUGGAGAUGCACAAGGUAAUGUAUCAAUUUCACUUGAAGCUUACUUGUAGUUUCAGGCUUGGUCAAGCGCGAUACAAACCAUGUAGUAGGAGUCCCCCAAGUCGCCGAGCUAGGGGGUCUGCUGAAAGAGGUGACAGACAAGGUAAGCAAUCAGAGCUCCGACUAAUUGUUCACCUUCUCCCCAUCUUGCAGCAGCAUGAAGGAUAAAGAGAAGAAAAAUGAGAAGAGAUGAUAUGAGAUACUUUUGCUUUUGAAGAAGUAACUUUCCACAGGCUUAUUCUUAAACUGAGCUGGAGGGUUUUCUGGUUUCCUCCAGAGUAUAAGGCCGACUGAAGAAUUUGAGGGUCAAAACAAGUCCAUCAAAUCUAGAGUACGUUCCACCCUGCUGAUAUGGGAUACUUUUGCUUUUGACAGAGUAAUGGAUGUAUCGGCACGUGUGCUGUUACGCUUGUCUCCACAUGCUUCCUUGUAUCCUUCGCACUUGCCCUAUCUGUUCCUCAAGCAGAUGCGGAAUCUUCCCUGGAAACAUAAGAUGUUGAAGAUGAGUACUCGAGAGCAAUGCCAGGUAAGUAAUCAGGUAAGGGGUUCCAGGCAGUCAGUUCCUGGCUGGAAGCUUGAUUCCAAGUGCUGACUGAUUGCUCUCUUUCUCCUUGUCUUGCAGGUAAAAAACAAGGCCAAAGGAAAAGACAGGGAAAAAGCAUGAUAUGGGAUACUCUUGCUUUUAACCCUGAUGAUAUGAGAUAUUCUUGCUCUAGUAUAGCUUGUUUGCAGAGGUAUUAUCGGGGGGAAAGAAAGCUGAAUAUUUCGAAAGGCUUCGUUGGGAGUGCCCUCUCAGAUAUGAUGAAGGGUUGAGCAUUUUUGCAAGUCUGCCUGUCCGUUGGGGAUGGAGGUCGACAUAUAUAGGAGUCUCCCUAACAACAAGUAGUAAUGCUAUUCCUUUACCCUGCUUGGUCAUAGCACGGUAGUGGGAGCUGCCAGUUUCACAUGUUUUAACUCUGUCAGAGCACUUUGAAAAAGUGGUCUGUGGUAUCUGGCUCUCGAGAUUCGAAGAACGAUGCCUCUUCGAUUUUUGAGAAAGCAAUCAUGCUGGGGGUCUAGCUCUCGAGAUUCGGAGAGCAGUGUCUCUUCGAUUUUUGAGGAAGUAAUCAUGUUAGGAGUCUGGCUCUCGAGAUUCGGAGGGCGGUGCCUCUUCGAUUUUGGAGCAAGCAAUCUUGUUGGGAGUGUUGUCUCGAAUGUGAGUAAAGGUUGGGCAUGUUUGCUAGUCUACCUUGCCCCGAAGCACAAAGGUUGACACACAGGGACUUUCCAAUUAUCCUAGCAAUGGUACUGUUCCUUUACCCUCUCUUCGCUUUUGAGAAAGUAGUCAUGUUGGGAGUCUGGCUCUCGAGAUUCGGAGGACGGUGCCUCUUCGAUUUUGGAGCAAGCAAUCUUGUUGGGAGUGUUUUCUCGAAUGUGAGUAAAGGUUGGGCAUGUUUGCUAGUCUACCUUGCCACGAAGCACAGAGGUUGACACACAGGGAACUUUCCAAUUAUCCAGCAGUGGUACUGUUCCUUUACCCUUGUGGGUAAUAAUAUGGUAGCUAGACCUUCAAAAUUUAUGUGUCUAAACUUUGUUAGUGCUGUUUCUUUGCUAUUCUUUUACCUUUCUUGGUCAGAGCGAUGUAGUGGGAGCUGCAAGCUUCACGUGCUCAACUUUGGCAGAGAACUUUGGCAAAGUUAUCUGUGGUACCCAUGAGCUAUUGUUGCGUGUGGGAAGUGGGUGAUUGAACAGUAAGAUUCAUGUGCUUUCUACUUCACCAGAAGUCUUCGACAGAAUGCCCAUAAUUUCUGCAAAGCUGAGUGUGCGUGUGACAGGUGCUGACAAGGCUAGAAAAGUAGGUGCCUCUUCGAUUUCUGAGAUCGGCCCUCGUGGUCUCUGAGCAGCCCAGCUUUUGAGAAAGCGAGCGCCUCUUCGAUUGAUUCGGAGAACGAUGCCUCAUCGAUUUUUGAGAAAGCAAUCAUGCUGGGGGUCUGGCUCUCGAAGAUUCGGGGAGCAGUGUCUCUUCGAUUUUUGAGAAAGUAAUCAUGUUGGGAGUCUGGCUCUCGAGAUUCGGAGGGCGGUGCCUCUUCGAUUUUGGAGCAAGCAAUCUUGUUGGGAGUGUUUUCUCGAAUGUGAGUAAAGGUUGGGCAUGUUUGCUAGUCUACCUUGCUACGAAGCACAGAGGUUGACACACAGGGACUUUCCAAUUAUCCAGCAAUGGUACUGUUCCUUUACCCUCUCUUCGAUUUUUAAGAAAGUAGUCAUGUUGGGAGUCUGGCUCUCGAGAUUCGGAGGACGGUGCCUCUUCGAUUUUGGAGCAAGCAAUCUUAUUGGGAGUGUUUUCUCGAAUGUGAGUAAAGGUUGGGCAUGUUUGCUAGUCUACCUUGCCACGAAGCACAGAGGUUGACACACAGGGACUUUCCAAUUAUCCAGCAGUGGUACUGUUCCUUUACCCUUGUGGGUAAUAAUAUGGUAGCUAGACCUUCAAAAUUUAUGGGUCUAAACUUUGUUAGUGCUGUUUCUUUGCUAUUCUUUUACCCUUCUUGGUCAGAGCGAUGUAGUGGGAGCUGCAAGCUUCACGUGCUCAACUUUGGCAGAGAACUUUGGCAAAGUUAUCUGUGGUACCCAUGAGCUAUUGUUGCGUGUGGGAAGUGGGUGAUUGAACAGUAAGAUUCAUGUGUUUUCUACUUCACCAGAAGUCUUCGACAGAAUGCCCAUAAUUUCCGCAAAGCUGAGUGUGCGUGUGACAGGUGCUGACAAGGCUGGAAAAGUAGGUGCCUCUUCGAUUUCUGAGAUCGGCCCUCGUGGUCUCUAGGGAGCCCAGCUUUUGAGAAAGCGAGCGCCUCUUCGAUUUCUGAGAUCGGACCUUGUGGUCUUUGAGCAGCCCAACUUUUGAGAAAGCAAACGCCUCUUCGAUUUCUGAGAUCAACCCUCGUGAUCUCUAAGCAGCCCAGCUUUUGAGAAAGCAAACGCCUCUUCGAUUUCUGAGUAGGCGCCUCUUCGAUUUCUGAAGCUCCGUCGAGUGCAGAUUUUUAUAGGGGCUGGCAUUAAGUUCCAAAGCACACUUGAAUCUCCACCAGUAGAAGCUUCAUUCUUGCACUUCUAAGAUCUUGAUUUGUCCGACCUCUUCUCUCUUCAACACCUUUGAAAAUGUCUGGCCCCUCCGACCGUCGUUUUGACUUGAACCUUGUUGAAGAGGCAGCCCCGCCUUCUCCAGACAACAUAUGGCGCCCAUCCUUCGUCUCCCCUACUGGUCCUCUUACCGUUGGGGAUUCCGUGAUGAAGAAUGAUAUGACCGCUGCGGUGGUGGCCAGGAACCUUCUCACUCCCAAAGAUAACAGACUACUUUCCAAACGGUCUGAUGAGUUAGCUGUUAAGGAUUCGCUGGCUCUCAGUGUUCAGUGUGCAGGUUCUGUGUCUAAUAUGGCCCAACGCCUAUUUGCUCGAACCCGCCAAGUUGAAUCAUUGGCGGCUGAAGUGAUGAGUCUCAAACAGGAGAUUAGAGGGCUCAAGCAUGAGAAUAAACAGUUGCACCGGCUCGCACAUGACUAUGCUACAAACAUGAAGAGGAAGCUUGACCAGAUGAAGGAAACUGAUGGUCAGGUUUUACUUGAUCAUCAGAGAUUUGUGGGUUUGUUCCAAAGGCAUUUAUUGCCUUCGUCUUCUGGGGCUGUACCGCGUAAUGAAGCUCCAAAUGAUCAACCUCUGAUGCCUCCAUCCUUCUAGGGUUCUGUCCAGUACUGAGGACUCCAAAUGAUCCCCCUCCGGUGCCUUCUCUUUCUGGGGCUCUACCGACUGCUGAGACUUCUCCUAAGCAACCUUUGUGAAGGCUCCCUCUUGUGUGUUUAUUUUGACUCAUGUAUAUGUACAUAUUUGUAGCUUAUCGGGGAUAUCAAUAAAUAAGCUUUCCUUCAUUUCAACGUAUUGUGUUAAAUACACCAAAGCCUUCUUCGCUAAGUUCUUUGAAUUUUCUUUUGUUGAAGCUUGUAUGUUGAAGCUUUCUGAGUGGAGCAUGUAGGUUGGGGUAGUGUUCCCUUAAUUUCCGAGUGAGUGAGGAAAACUUCUCGGUUGGAGACUUGGAAAAUCCAAGUCACUGAGUGGGAUCGGCUAUAUGAAUCUUAGAACGCCAUUGUGCUCGAUCCUGUGUCAUGUCCUUCGUUAGAUCCAAGUACUCUAAGUCUUUUCUUAGAGUCUCUUCCAAAGUUUUCCUAGGUCUUCCUCUACCCCUUCGGCCCUGAACCUCUGUCCCAUAGUCGCAUCUUCUAAUCGGAGCGUCAGUAGGCCUUCUUUGCACAUGUCCAAACCACCGUAACCGAUUUUCUCUCAUCUUUCCUUCAAUUUCGGCUACUCCUACUUUACCCCGGAUAUCCUCAUUCCUAAUCUUAUCCUUUCUCGUGUGCCCACACAUCCAACGAAGCAUCCUCAUCUCCGCUACACCCAUUUUGUGUACGUGUUGAUGUUUCACCGCCCAACAUUCUGUGCCAUACAGCAUCGCCGGCCUUAUUGCCGUCCUAUAAAAUUUUCCCUUGAGCUUCAGUGGCAUACGGCGGUCACACAACACGCCGGAUGCACUCUUCCACUUCAUUCAUCCAGCUUGUAUUCUAUGGUUGAGAUCUCCAUCUAAUUCUCCGUUCUUUUGCAAGAUAGAUCCUAGGUAACGAAAACGGUCGCUCUUUGGUAUUUCUUGAUCUCCGAUCCUCACCCCUAACUCGUUUUGGCCUCCAUUUGCACUGAACUUGCACUCCAUAUAUUCUGUCUUUGAUCGGCUUAGGCGAAGACCUUUAGAUUCCAACACUUCUCUCCAAAGGUUAAGCUUUGCAUUUACCCCUUCUUGAGUUUCAUCUAUCAACACUAUAUCGUCUGCGAAAAGCAUACACCAAAGGAAUAUCAUCUUGAAUAUGUCCUGUUAACUCAUCCAUUACCAACGCAAAAAGGUAAGGACUUAAGGAUGAGCCUUGAUGUAAUCCUACAGUUAUGGGAAAGCUUUCGGUUUGUCCUUCAUGAGUUCUUACGGCAGUCUUUGCUCCUUCAUACAUAUCCUUUAUAGCUUGGAUAUAUGCUACUCGUACUCCAUUUCUUCUCUAAAAUCCUCCAAAGAAUGUCUCUUGGGACCCUAUCAUACGCUUUUUCCAAAUCUAUAAAGACCAUGUGUAAAUCCUUUUUCCCAUCUCUAUAUCUUUCCAUCAAUCUUCGUAAGAGAUAGAUUGCCUCCAUGGUUGAGCGCCCUGGCAUGAACCCGAAUUGGUUGUCCGAAACCCGUGUCUCUUGCCUCAAUCUAUGCUCAAUGACUCUCUCCCAGAGCUUCAUUGUAUGACUCAUUAGCUUAAUACCCCUAUAGUUCAUGCAAUUUUGUACGUCGCCCUUAUUCUUGUAGAUAGGCACCAAAGUGCUCGUUCGCCACUCAUUUGGCAUCUUCUUCGUUUUCAAAAUCCUAUUGAAAAGGUCAGUGAGCCAUGUUAUACCUGUCUCUCCCAAAAGUUUCCACACUUCGAUUGGUAUAUUGUCUGGGCCUAUUGCUUUUUUAUGCUUCAUCUUCUUCAAAGCUACAACCACUUCUUCCUUCCGGAUUCGACGAUAAAAAGAGUAGUUUCUACACUCUUCUGAGUUACUCAACUCCCCUAAAGAAGCACUCAUUUCAUGUCCUUCAUUGAAAAGAUUAUGAAAAUAACCUCUCCAUCUGUCUUUAACCGCGUUCUCUGUAGCAAGAACCUUUCCAUCCUCAUCCUUGAUGCACCUCACUUGGUUUAGGUCCCUUGUCUUCUUUUCCCUUGCUCUAGAUAGUUUAUAGAUAUCCAACUCUCCUUCUUUGGUAUCUAGUCGUUUAUACAUAUCGUCGUAAGCCGCUAACUUAGCUUCUCUGACAGCUUUCUUCGCCUCUUGCUUCGCUUUUCUAUACCUUUCACCAUUUUCAUCGGUCCUCUCCUUGUAUAAGGCUUUACAACAUUCCUUCUUAGCCUUCACCUUUGUUUGUACCUCCUCAUUCCACCACCAAGAUUCCUUUUGGUGUGGGGCAAAGCCCUUUGGACUCUCCUAAUACCUCUUUUGCUACUUUUCGGAUACAACUAGCCAUGGAAUCCCACAUUUGGCUAGCUUCCCCCUCUCUAUCCCCACACACAUUGGGUGAUUACCUUCUCUUUGAAAAUGACUUGUUUUUCUUCUUUUAGAUUCCACCAUCUAGUCCUUGGGCACUUCCAAGUCUUGUUCUUUUGUCUUACUCUUUUGAUAUGUACAUCCAUCACCAACAAGCGAUGUUGAUUAGCCACGCUCUCUCCUGGUAUAACUUUGCAAUCCUUACAAGUUAUACGAUCCCCUUUCCUCAUUAGAAGAAAAUCUAUUUGUGUUUUUUACGACCCACUCUUGUAGGUGAUCACAUGUUCUUCUCUCUUCUUAAAGAAGGUGUUGGCUAAGAAGAGAUCAUAUGCCAUUGCAAAAUCCAAGAUAGCUUCCCCAUCCUCGUUUCUCUCCCCAAAAUCAUGGCCACCAUGAAAACCUCCAUAGUUGCCUGUCUCCCUGCCCACGUGUCCAUUUAAAUCUCCUCCUAUAAAAAUAACUUCUCCGUCUGAGCAAUUCCUUGCACCAAGUCUCCAAGAUCUUCCCAAAAUUUCUCCUUCGAACUCGUAUCCAACCCUACUUGAGGUGCGUACGCACUAAUCACAUUGAUAAGUUCUUGUCCUAUUACAAUCUUGAUUGCCAUGAUUCUAUCUCCUACCCUCUUGACAUCUACAACAUCUUGUACCAAGGUCUUGUCCACGAUGAUGCCAACACCAUUUCUCGUUCUAUUUGUGCCCGAAUACCAAAGUUUAAACCCUGAGUUUUCUAGAUCCUUUGCCUUACUACCAACCCACUUAGUUUCUUGUAGGCACAUAAUAUUUAUCCUUCUCCUCACCAUAACUUCCACUACUUCCAUAGAUUUUCCCGUUAAGGUUCCUAUAUUCCACGUUCCUAAACGCAUUUUGCUCUCUUGAACUCUACACUUCUGUCCUAGCUUCUUCACCCUCCCCCGUCUAAUAGGAUCAAAGUACUUCUUUUGUGUGUCCCGGGUAAAGUUGAUAGGAGCAUAUGCUCCCAAACAACUUUGAGUGGAGUCGUUCGAAAAGAAGUUUCUAUGGCCCCCUUGCUCAUUUAACACUGCAUCCGGGUGCCGAUGGAGAUACAGCGACCCUUGCUCGCUUAUCACUGUGCUCGGGCCACACAGCGCGCCACUUACGGGUGACGCCCUAGCUUUAACGCGAUUUUGUUCUGGAUUCAUUUUCAUAAGGAUUCGACGUGAUCAUGGAGUGCCGGCUGUCGACUACCUGACGCCCUCCCCCUCCUCCUUUAUCCGGGCUUGGGACCGGCCAUGUAAGACAUAGGCGGAGUUGAAAACCAAAUAGGCCAAAUUGAAUUAUUCAUCCUUGUGGUCAUAGGAAACUUGCAUGAUGACCCCGUGAUGAAAAAAUUAGGAAUUAAACCCCUGUGGUCAAGAAUGUUAGAAAAUUUAGUCCAAAAGUAAGAUUUCUGUUAAAUGACUGUUAAAAGUAUGGGUAAAACUGUAUUUUCAGUUCCAAUUGACAUUUAAAAUAAAUAUUUUUUAUAACAAUUAACAAAAAAAAUAAUGCUUAAUUUUUUAAAUAAAAAAAAGCCCCAAUUCAAUGUCAAUUGAAACUGAAAAUACAGUUUUACUCCAACUUUUAAGUUUUAACAGUCCUUUAACAGAAAUCUUACUUUUGGACUAGAUUUGCUAACAUUUUAGACCAUCGGGAUUUAAUUCCUAGUUUUUUCACCAUAGGGGUCAUCAUGCAAGUGUCCUAUGACCAUGGGAUGAACAAUUCAAUUUGGCCAACCAAAUAACACGAUGCAUAUAUACUUCAUCGACAAAUAUAUAUAUACCGCCACCGCUACUCAGUAGUAUCCUCAUGUACACUGAUCAUGCACUGCCAUCAGAGCAAGCCGAUCUCUGCCUGCUUGUCAAGCCCUUCAACUUUGCCAUUCAUACCCACCGGCACCACGUUCCCCACCGCCCUGUCCACCUUGCCAACCACAUUCCUCUUGGCCACCUUCUUCCCAGCCUUGACCACCUUUGCCUCCCUAGCCACCGCCUUCCCUACCACGUUCCUCUUGGCCACCUUCUUCGGAUUAUACUCGGAUUAUUUCAACAAUAUAAAUUAAUGCAUACUGCUUUUGCCAGUUCCGGAAGUGGAGAGAGCUGUUUACAGCACAUGCUCUGUUGAAGGAUCCAGAAAAUAAUAUUAGGAGGAUCAGUAAGAAUAAUACGCAAUAUUUUUUACCAAAAAUAGCAUGCAUAUCGCUAUUUCAUCGAGUCUUAGGUCGUCUAAGAUCAUUUAGAAAUGAAUGCCCCCUCAUUUACGAGAGUAACUAACAUCUUCUAAGACUGCUCCCAUAUAAAUGCUUAACAAAAAAACACACUAACAAUGUUUGAUACCAUUACAUCCCAUUAAUAUAUUUAUCUAAGAAUAAUGAUGUUUUGUUAUUCACUGAGAUGAUCAUUUCAUUCACUCUUCUUUCAGACAUUUUAUCAAAUAGUUAGAGAGCAUGAAUGAAGCCAACUUUAAUCUUCAAAAAGGCACACUGAAAUUCGAAGCAUCAGCACCUAAGAUGUACCCAUGAACGUUCAUCGAAGUUGGAGAGGUCAGCUGACCCCUGUGCAUCCGCCACUGCUGUGAACUAAGUCGGAAACGAAGAUGUCAUUAAAUCUGUGCCACCACUUGCCGCAUCCAAUGGUUUCCAACUAGAAACUCCCUUCCCGGAAUGGCACGGCCGUGGUGUCCCCAGUGUCGAGGGCGGUAAGUGGCAUGCUUAAAUCUUGACAAAAUGUUGAGAUAUUGGUAUCUCAACAUUGCUCUGUUUUCUAGGUCCGGCGAUGAAUCAGAAGCGCCUAACGGAACCGGCAUAGGCUCAAAACAGAACCUCGAAGAGGCUGAGGAAUUACGCAGUGCCUCAUCCCAAUCUGUUUAAAAUGCUAACACACGGAACAACGUAUAUGGCGUAAUUCCAAACACACAUAUUACGAACUUUGUUUGAUUACGUUCGUAAAAUGCUCGGUUAUUCGAGUUAUUUGUUCCGUUGAUUCGCGUUUUUGAAGCCAAUUUUAUGAUAACAUAAACAAAAAUGGAAAUAAAACACAUAAUAUGCUUCAUUGAUCUGAAAAACCAACAAGCUUAUAAUACCACAACACAAACAUAACAAACACAUCCAGAAAACACCAACGAAGCCCUAAAAUCCACACACAAACCCUUAUGUUAUAAUCCCUGCACGAUUAUUCUCAUAACCCAAAUCACAGAAACAGUUUCAAGCAAUCUUGACCUCGAUUGUCUUCGGCUUCUUCGGCUCCGGCGGCGGCAGCUUCUGCACCGUGACAGUCAAAACCCCAUCCUGGCAAACAGCAGAAAUCGCAUCCACGUUCGCGUUCUCCGGCAACACAAACUUCCUCAUGAACUUGCCGACCCUCCGCUCCAUCCUCACGUACUUAGCCCCUUCCUUCUCCUCCUCCCGCUUCCUCUCGCCGCUGAUCAGAAGCACAUUGUCGUCCUCCACCUGGACCUUGAUGUCCCCGGACUUCAGUCCCGGCAUGUCCACCUCGAACACGUAGGAGGUCGGGUACUCCUUGACGUCUGCCGGCGUGGAGGCCAUGGCCUUGGCGUCACGGACGUAGGUCCGGGUGGGGGCGUUGAAGGAUUUCUCGGCGUCGUCGGCGGCGGCGUCCAUGAUGUGCUGAAGUGUGGAGAAGAGCUGGGCUUCCAAACCGGGGUUUCUGAUGUCCAUUCUUCGCUUCUUGGUGGGUGGAAUUUUCGCUUUUCGGUUUCGAUUUGAAGGCUUCCGUGAAUUUUCAGUGGGAAUCUGGUCGUUUUGGAGGGGAGUGGUGGUUAUGGGUAUUUAUAGGAGGAAGAUUUGAGGGAAGACGUGGGUUAGCGGGGAGGGACAAAGGAAUGUUCUGGAGAAACGUGGAAGGAAGGGAGGAGGUUCCAGUAGGUUCGCUUAAUUUCUUCUGUGAGCGUCUAGAACAUUAUGGAAGCGUUUACUAGAGGCGGCCUCUUUAGCCAUUUACGAGAUAUUUUGUUGAGAAAGAGUCAAAAAGUUAAAAUAGAUAACAGUACUAAAUUAAAAGAUAAUCCCAAAUAAAAAACAGAAAUAUAUGAAGACGAUAAAAAACAAACGAAAAUUAAACUCGGCACCUGUGGUUAUGGUAUUUCAAAUUCAAAUUAAACAAUAACAAAAUAGUCACUCUAAUGGUACUCUCUGUGACAAAUCAUCGAAAUAUAAUAAAAAUGAGCCAACAAAAGACAAGUAACCACUAAAAUGUAGGUGAUCCAAUAUUCUAGUAUUCAAUUUGAAAAUACCUUUAAAUCAUUGUAAUAAUUCGAACCUAUCCCUCCUUUUAAUAAUACUAAAAAUAAAAACUCUAAAAUAAGUUCUCUAUUAAAAAGAUAUUUAUUUUAAAAAAAAUUUAUUUACAUUAAAAGAAAAAUAUGUGAUUAUCCUCACUGAGCUAUAAUUCAAAUUCAUUUUAACAAAAAUCAAAACCUAAGCUAUAAUUCAAAUUCAUCUUAACAAAAAUCAAAACCUAAGAUCUUUAGUUACAAAUGAAUUCGUCGUCGUACCCAGUGCACAAGACUCUCGCUUUACGCAGAAUCUAAAAGAGGUGAAUGUCGGCUAACCUUACACUCAUUUAUGAAGAGGCUGGUCCAAUACAAAUGAAUUCGUCUUAACAAAAAUCAAAAUAUAAGAUCUCUCGGUGAAGAUGACGGAACGGAACCCGAAUAAGCUCAAACAGAACCCCGAAGAGGCUGAGAAAUUAGGCAGUACCUCAUCUCAAUCUGUUUAAAAUGCUGAGACACGGAACAACGUAUAUGGCGUAAUUCCAGACACACUCAUAUUACAAACUCGGUUUGAUUAUCGUAAAAUGCUUGGUUAUUUGAGUUAUUUGUUCCGUUGGUACGCGUUUUUGAAGCCGAUUUUAUGAAAAGAUCAACAAAAAAUGGAAAGUAAAAACAGAGACUGAAAUAGGAAGUAAAGACAUAAUAUGCUUCAUUGAUCUGAAAAACCAACAAGCUUAUAAUACCACAACACAAACACAACAAACACUUCCAGAAAACACCAACGAAGCCCUGAAAUCCACACACAAACCCUUAUGUUAUAAUCCCUGCACGAUUUUUCUCAGAACCCAUAUCACAGAAACAGCACUCAAAAGUUUCAACCAAUCUUGACCUCGAUUGUCUUCGGCUUCUUCGGCUCCGGCGGCGGCAGCUUCUGCACUGUGACAGUCAAAACCCCAUCCUGGCAAACAGCAGAAAUCGCAUCCACGUUCGCAUUCUCCGGCAACACAAACUUCCUCAUGAACUUGCCGACCCUCCGCUCCAUCCUCACGUACUUAGCCCCUUCCUUCUCCUCCUCCCGCUUCCUCUCGCCGCUGAUCAGAAGCACAUUGCCGUCCUCCACCUGGACCUUGAUGUCCCCGGACUUCAGUCCCGGCAUGUCCACCACGAACACGUAGGAG
rnacentral:lncRNA from 1 species